AGGGUUCGAUUCUGGCUCAGGAUGAACGCUGGCGGCGUGCUUAACACAUGCAAGUCGAACGAGAAAGCAACUUCGGUUGUGAGUAGAGUGGCGAACGGGUGAGUAACACGUGAGCAACCUGCCCUUCACUUCGGGAUAACUCAGGGAAACUUGUGCUAAUACCGAAUACUCCGAUUAGAUCGCAUGGUCUUUUUCGGGAAAGCUUUUACGGUGAAGGAUGGGCUCGCGGCCCAUUAGGUAGUUGGUAGGGUAACGGCCUACCAAGCCGACGAUGGGUAGCCGGGUUGAGAGACCGACCGGCCACAUUGGGACUGAGACACGGCCCAGACUCCUACGGGAGGCAGCAGUGGGGAAUUUUGCGCAAUGGGCGAAAAAGCCUGACGCAGCAACGCCGCGUGCGGGAUGAAGGCCUUCGGGUUGUAAACCGCUUUCAGUAGGGAAGAAAUUGACGGUACCUACAGAAGAAGCUCCGGCUAACUACGUGCCAGCCGCUGC
rnacentral:rRNA from 1 species